rnacentral:tRNA from 1 species
CAUUACAAAGGCGAUGCUCUAACCUCUGAGCUAAGCGGGC